ACCGUGAUAGUCUAAUGGAAAAACACUACUCUCCAAAAGUAGUAACAGAGGUUCGACUCCUUUUCACGGUG
rnacentral:tRNA from 1 species